GGACCGAACCCAGGGCCUUGCGCUUCGUUCCUAGACCAAGACCAUUUCAGCAAACCACAACUGGUCAAAAUACAGAAAUCAAUGAAUAUUGGGACUGCCCAGACCUAGUAGGUGAAUCUACUACACGAUGCCUGCACCUAAGGCUCAGAGAACAUCUUGAGAGGAACACUGUGCAUUUCAGGUCAAUGUCACAUGAAUGUCCCACCAUGAAAUAGCUUGAUGCUACCCCCUUAAUAAAUGUCUUUUGAUGCACAGCG